GGACUGAUAGCGACAGUCCAAACAGUGAAGGAAUAGCUAAUGCGACGUUCAAACUCUGGGUCCCGGGACAGUGAAGCACAGAGUUUGGAAGGGUGCGGCUCCUGCUGCUUUGCCUUGUGGGCAGCCUCGGGAGAAACGAAAGCUACCGGUGUAAACCCAGACAGAAAAUCCAGAGUGGAGCCCUUAAGGCGCUGGAAGUCAGUUCUUGCAGCCAAGCGUGUGCCAAACACAUUGCUUCGCUUUCCAUUGGAUUAUACUGGUGAGAUCAGGAGGGGGAUUCUGACGACCUGGCAUCCCAAGAUCUCCGUAUCUUGCGUCCAAGCUGUUACCCGGAGAGGUCACGCCAGUGCCUCUGCUCGCAGCGACCAGAGCAACAUGGGAGGCAGCAGUUAAUUAUGGGGUAGGUCGCCCCCACCUACUGGCACAACAUUCACUUUCAGAAACUGCAGCAAAACCUGCUACUCUAAAACUGGACUGUACAGUCAUAGCAGUCGUCCCAACUGUACAACCGACUGACCCGUAGCGCACAUUAUAUUUCCAUUGUCCUUCGAGACAAACGGAUGCCGACAUCAUCAUCACCAUCAUCAUAUUAUGAUCUUAUUGUCCAAUUAUAAAUAAGGCAUGACAGCCUUUCUGCUUUCUUAGAAGUUUGCAAAGAUUCGGCAUGUCAUCUGACAAAACUUGUGUUAGCUGCGCGGUGGAGAGUAUAGGAUUCGCAGAUUCAGGAACAAUUUGUAUCGCUCAAAGAUCAGUCUCUUGAACCAGAGUGGACAACUUCACGCAUUCCAAUACUGAGUUCAUUCUACAACCAUGAAUUCACUUUCAAAGACUUACAACUCAUGUUCUCAGUAUGUGUUACUUACAUCGUUAUUAUUCUUGUUAUUUAUUCUUGCGUUUGCACAAUUUGUUGUUGCUUGCAUAUUGUGUGUAUGUCUGUUGUGCGUAGUUCUUCAUUGCUUCUAUUGUGUUUCGUUAUAUUUGUUGUGAAUAAGAUGAACCUCAGUGUAGUAUAUACUGCCAUCUAUGUCUGAGGCACUGUAAGGUUUCACUGCUAACGUAAUGAUCUCUCUGUAAUGUUUCACUAUUACGGUAAUGGUUUCUCUGUAGCAGCAAAGUUUGGGUUACGACUAGAGAUAACGAUGGCUUUGGAAUUUAUGUUAGCUAAUGAGGGGCAUGUUGUUCUGUCUUGUGGGUCUGGGAGCAGGGAUUUCGCGGUCUUUUGUCGGCGAGAGACGAAGAUAGAAGACGAGAAUGGAGAGAGUUGGUAAACCGGCGGACGGAGGGGGAAACGAAUGGUCGAAUACAUCAAAACCGAGACAAUUCCCAAAGUGAAACAGUGCAGCCCAGGUGGAGAUCGACUACAAUUCCUGCUAGUGAGAAAUGGGAAGAUAAUCAUCAGGUACAAUAUUGCUGGACCGAAAUUUUUGCUAGAUGUGUUGAUGUACCUAUACUAGCAGUAGAAGGGAGAGUGAAGACUUUAUCGAAGUACAGGACCCGAAGGAUUGAGAGGAGUUGGCAUCGUUUGGCAGUUUAACAAAGGAUCGACCUUAUUGAGUCUUCGUUGAAGGAGUAGUGACCUGCAUCGAGAGAUAACUCUUGCCAAAAGAGAAAAGAGUUCGUGCAAGGUUUGCUUUCUAAAAGAAAUUAAGAUCAGUUAUUUUAAACUGUUUAUUUACUGCAUCGUGAAUCCUUCGGACAGAACCAGAAGGAAAGUCGCGUCUAUGAAAAAAUCUAUCUCCAGAGAAGUCUCUCCCAAUUGAACGUAUAAAUUUGUUGGACUUUCGAAUUUACCAUUUUAAGAACUACAUCUGACUUUACCGCUGUAAGAACUGUUUUCGCAUUUAACGCUUUAAGAACCAGGGCCGAGUGACGAUUUGUUGAACGGCUGCAUAGCGGUUGAAUUCCGGUUAAGGUUUUCGGUUUUUUAAA